rnacentral:tRNA from 1 species
GGUUUUGUAGCUCAGUGGUAGAGUGCUUGCCUAGCCUACAUGAAGCACUGGGUUUGAUUCUCAGCACCA